UAGUCCACGCUGUAAACGAUGUCGACUUGGAGGUUGUUCCCUUGAGGAGUGGCUUCCGGAGCUAACGCGUUAAGUCGACCGCCUGGGGAGUACGGCCGCAAGGUUAAAACUCAAAUGAAUUGACGGGGGCCCGCACAAGCGGUGGAGCAUGUGGUUUAAUUCGAUGCAACGCGAAGAACCUUACCUACUCUUGACAUCCAGAGAACUUAGCAGAGAUGCUUUGGUGCCUUCGGGAACUCUGAGAC
rnacentral:rRNA from 1 species